rnacentral:rRNA from 1 species
AAUCUGAUCCUUCAGUUUUCGGACAAGAAGAAUCGGAGGACAGUGGCGGAAGGGUGAGGAAUACAUGGGUAAUCUAUCUUCAAGUUGGGUAUAACUCCGCGAAAGUGGAGAUAAUCCCGAAUGUGGUGAUCCGGCGCAUGCCGGAGAAUCUAAAGGCAGGGACCGCAAGGCCUGUCGCUUGAAGCUGAGCCCGUGCACUAUCAGCUAGUUGGUGAGGUAACGGCUCACCAAGGCUAUGACGGUUAGCUGGUCUGAGAGGAUGGUCAGCCACACUGGGACUGAGAUACUGCCCAGACUCCUACGGGAGGCUGCAGUCGAGAAUCAUUCGCAAUGGGCGAAAGCCUGACGGUGCGACGUCGCGUGGAGGAUGAAGGUCUUCGGAUUGUAAACUCCUGUCAUGUGGGAUAAAUGGCCAGGGCAGCAAUACUGCCUUGGAAUGAUAGUACCACAGGAGGAAGAGACGGCUAACUCUGUGCCAGCAGCCGCGGUAAUACAGAGGUCUCGAGCGUUGUUCGGAUUUACU